rnacentral:rRNA from 1 species
AUUGAACGCUAGCGGGAUGCCUUACACAUGCAAGUCGAACGGCAGCGCGGACUUCGGUCUGGCGGCGAGUGGCGAACGGGUGAGUAAUGUAUCGGAACGUGCCCAGUAGCGGGGGAUAACUACUCGAAAGAGUAGCUAAUACCGCAUACGCCCUACGGGGGAAAGGGGGGGAUCGCAAGACCUCUCACUAUUGGAGCGGCCGAUAUCGGAUUAGCUAGUUGGUGAGGUAAAGGCACACCAAGGCGACGAUCCGUAGCUGGUUUGAGAGGACGACCAGCCACACUGGGACUGAGACACGGCCCAGACUCCUACGGGAGGCAGCAGUGGGGAAUUUUGGACAAUGGGGGCAACCCUGAUCCAGCCAUUCCGCGUGUGCGAUGAAGGCCUUCGGGUUGUAAAGCACUCUUGGCAGGAAAGAAAUCGCACGGAUUAAUACUCUGUGUGGAUGACGGUACCUGCAGAAUAAGCACCGGCUAACUACGUGCCAGCCGCCGCAGUAA